rnacentral:lncRNA from 1 species
AAACGCCAAAGGAGCCGUGAUUAAUGAGCAGCGUUCACCUUUACCUUGGAUCCACCUGCAGGAGCUGCUCUAUUGGAGCGGUGGAGACCUGCUGAGGCUGCAGCGCAGGCUGCUCAGUGUAAUUCAGCACCAGCAAACAUGGAAAAGGAGACUAUCAGUGGACAAAGAAAGACGAUUUUGCAGAGUUGACAACAAGACUCAUAGGUCACCAUCUCAGAGUGUACAGAAUGGACCUCGCCCUGAAGGUAUGGACGAGCUUCUCAUCACUCUCUUACUGUCUCAUCAUCUUGUUGACUGGCUGGCACGCCUGAGGACUCGAGACAUCCAGACAUAGGCACUGGCAGACCUGCAGGUUGACUUCUCAGUUGUAUGGCAGGUCUGAGUGUGUCUUAGAGGGUCAUGACCCUCCCAGACUGUGACCUGGACAAACAGGACCGAGGAGCUGCAACAGGACAUGGAAUGUCCCUUUUGUUUUAGUUCUGUUUCACUUUUUUGUUGAAAAGGUGGAAAAUUCCUCCCUCUGCACUUGCCGGAGCAAAAGAAAACAUUUUCUUGGCAGCGAAUGAGGUAGUUUACAUAAGUAACAUUAUGUGACUGUAACAAAAAUUAUAAAAGCUCAGGCAUUGCUCUGUGUUGUAACUGAGGGUGCAUUAUUCUUUCUUUUCUCUUUGUGAUUGUCGUCUUCUAAGCCACUGAAAAUGUGAUUUAUUUUAAGAGCAGCACUUUUUCUUUGUGAACAUAUUUUUGGUGUUAGCACAGCCACUUGUCUGCAUUAU